rnacentral:rRNA from 1 species
UGGCGACCGGCGCACGGGUGAGUAACGCGUAUGCAACUUACCUAUCAGAGGGGGAUAGCCCGGCGAAGCGGAUUAAUACCCCAUGAAACAGGGGUCCCGCAUGGGAAUAUUUGUUAAAGAUUCAUCGCUGAUAGAUAGGCAUGCGUUCCAUUAGGCAGUUGGCGGGGUAACGGCCCACCAAACCGACGAUGGAUAGGGGUUCUGAGAGGAAGGUCCCCCACAUUGGUACUGAGACACGGACCAA